rnacentral:rRNA from 1 species
CCUACGGGUGGCAGCAGUGAGGAAUAUUGGUCAAUGGACGAGAGUCUGAACCAGCCAAGUAGCGUGAAGGAUGACUGCCCUAUGGGUUGUAAACUUCUUUUAUAUGGGAAUAAAACGUUCCACGUGUGGGAUUUUGUAUGUACCAUAUGAAUAAGGAUCGGCUAACUCCGUGCCAGCAGCCGCGGUAAUACGGAGGAUCCGAGCGUUAUCCGGAUUUAUUGGGUUUAAAGGGAGCGUAGGUGGAUUGUUAAGUCAGUUGUGAAAGUUUGCGGCUCAACCGUAAAAUUGCAGUUGAAACUGGCAGUCUUGAGUACAGUAGAGGUGGGCGGAAUUCGUGGUGUAGCGGUGAAAUGCUUAGAUAUCACGAACAACUCCGAUUGCGAAGGCAGUUCACUGGACUGCAACUGACACUGAGGCUCGAAAGUGUGGGUAUCAAACAGGAUUAGAUACCCCAGUAGUC